CGGGUGAGUAAUGUCUGGGAAACUGCCUGAUGGAGGGGGAUAACUACUGGAAACGGUAGCUAAUACCGCAUAAUGUCGCAAGACCAAAGUGGGGGACCUUCGGGCCUCUUGCCAUCGGAUGUGCCCAGAUGGGAUUAGCUAGUAGGUGGGGUAACGGCUCACCUAGGCGACGAUCCCUAGCUGGUCUGAGAGGAUGACCAGCCACACUGGAACUGAGACACGGUCCAG
rnacentral:rRNA from 1 species